AGUCCUGUAACUCAAUGGCAGAGAACUUGCCUUACAAGCAAGUGGUCGUAGGUUCGAUUCCUACCAGGACUACCA
rnacentral:tRNA from 1 species